rnacentral:tRNA from 1 species
GGGCCUGUAGCUUAGUUGGUAGAGCGCCGCAUUUGCAUUGCGGAGGUCACGGGUUCGAAUCCCGUCGGGUCCACCA